rnacentral:rRNA from 1 species
GACGAACGCUGGCGGCGUGCCUAACACAUGCAAGUCGAGCGAAGAAUACAUAAAGAAAUCUUCGGAUGGAAUUAUAUAUUUCUUAGCGGCGGACGGGUGAGUAACGCGUGGGUAACCUGCCCUUAACACCGGGACAACAGCGGGAAACUGCUGCUAAUACCGGAUAAUCUCAAGAGAAGGCAUCUUCUUUUGAGGAAAGGUGGCCUCUGAAUAUGCUACCGAUUAAGGAUGGACCCGCGUCUGAUUAGCUAGUUGGUAGGGUAGUUGCCUACCAAGGCGACGAUCAGUAGCCGGCCUGAGAGGGUGACCGGCCACACUGGGACUGAGACACGGCCCAGACUCCUACGGGAGGCAGCAGUGGGGAAUCUUCCACAAUGGGCGAAAGCCUGAUGGAGCGACGCCGCGUGAGCGAAGAAGGCCUCGGUUGUAAGACUCUGUCUGGAGGGACGAAGGAAGUAGACGGUACCGUCCGGAGGAAGCCACGGCUAACUACGUAGCCAGCAGCCGCGGUAAA